CCAGCUAGGUCUAAUUUUCGGGGAAACAAGGUAGUAUUCUUGGGAGGAAAAGUAGAUGCCACAAUGAUUAUCACUGAACCCACGUCAUAGGAGGAAAGAUGGGUGAAGGAAGUGAAGAUGUCUGGACACAAGACAGAUGAGACCCUAAGGAGACAGGAUCCUAAGUUUUCCCACAUCUGCAGGGCUGACAUGAGACUCUUGGUGGUGAACCUAGUAAGGUGGCUAAAAGGUAGAAGCUUCUGCCUCACUCUAAGUAAUACCUUUCUAACAGUCAGUAGUGUCCAAAAGUUAAGGGGUGGUAGUAAACUUGCUGACGUUAGGGCUUUAUAAGAGGUGCUUGGACGAGCAUUUGGCAGGGAUAUUGGAGAGGGGAUUCAACCAUGAUUGGUUGAAUUUGCCACUUUUAACUACCUCUGAAAUCUGCACUUUUGAACUGUCUUUACUUGCCAAUCAAUGCAUCAUCAACAUCUUGAGUUUCUGGUAUGUGUAAAGCCUGGCGCUAUGGUCUCUGGGUCAAAGAGGUACCUGACCCAGUUUUCACUAGGGCAGAGGAAGCACUUAGUAGGUUCUCCAUGACGCUGUGUUACAAGACUGACUGUGAGAGUCACACAAGAAGGAGAAACGCUGGCUAUCUUUCAGUUUCUCUUAGGCUGCCCAGGGGUGUUUCUUUGAGUAUCCUAUACCUGUCACAUCUUCUCUGGAAUCCAUUCUCCACACCUACAUGCCAAAUGUGUUUGAGUCUGUGUUUACACCGUUGGCAUACAUGUCACUGUUUAUUCUUGUCUUGUUCUGGGUCUUUGGGAAAUGGAACUGCCCCCUUAUGAGAAUUAUUUACACGGACUUGGGCGGGGAAUCUGUUUGAACUUGAGUGUGCCGUGGUAGUUACUAUGUCCAGGAAUGUGUCUGUCUUACAAGGAGUGCAAAUCAGUGUUUCACCCGUUGGUCACUGAUUGGAAUAGGUAAGACAGAUCUGGGAUUCAGCUCCAACCCUGAAAAUAGGGGACAAAUAUGCAAGAAAAACCAUGCAAGAGGUUUGCUAUUCGUGCUCUCGGUGUCUUUCUUUAAUGCAUUUGUUCUAUAAGCAUUUACUCUCCAGCCCUGUGCUAGGAAGCUGGAAUGCUGAGCUUACUCAGCCUGUUUGUCAACCCUCAAAGAGCUUUUUCUAAUGAUGGAAGAUAAAAGGUACUGGGACAGAAUAGUAGAAAGAGACAGCCUGUGCUUGAGGAGAGUCAGAGGUUAAAGAAGGCUUUGCAAAGAAGAUGACAUUUGAGCUGGUCUUCAGGGGAAGUUGAGGUCACCAUGCCCUCCAGAAGGAAGGACAUCCCAGUAUGAGGACAGAGCGAACACAAAGGCUUGGGACCUCAUAAAACGUGCUAUCUUGGGAAAUGUCAAAUAGUUUAAUGUGUCUAGCGUGUACUGUGUCUGGGAAGGUGGUAAGAGAUGAGAUUGGUAACAUAUGUUUUGGGGUUACCCUCUUUUAGAUGGGAAUGGCGGUUGGCCAUGCUGCUACUUGAGAUUAUUUUGCAAACAUAGUUUGGCGUUUCAUGGCCAUUUCAUUAACUAUGGCCAACUCUGCACGAUCCAUCUUGUGAAUUAUCAGAAGUCUUGCCAUACAUUAUUUCCCCUUGACGACCAUAGGAAUGUAUUCUUAAAAUCUCACUUAAGAUCAGUCCAAAGAAACCAUAAUUACGAAGGUAAAUCUGCUGGAACAAUUCAGAUUGCUUCCUCUUUUACCCAUAAGGGUGUGGGGCAUGGUAGGACCACCAUCUGCAUGAGGACAACUCAUGGUCAUGUCCGACUGUCACUGCAUAUAUACCAGAAGCUUGGGGUAAGGGGAUUUGACCUGACCCUGUACGUUUGGAUCUGGGAGGUAUGUGUUGAUGGGCUUCACCUGUCUAAUGUACUCCCCAAAUCACAGUACAAUAAUUUGGGGGGUGGUUUAUCUACUUCAUCAUUAGUGUAGCUGAUCAGAAAUGUGAGCAUCGUGCUUUAAAAAAAAAUGUUUAAUGCUUUCUGAUUAUGAAGUAAUACCUGCUUUUUGUGGAAAAUAGUUAAAUAUAAAUUUAUACAUAUAAAACAGAAAGAAAAACAAAAUCACCCACCACUACUAAGAAAGCAACAACAUUUGGGUGCAUUUAUUUUGUUUUACUUACAGGUUGAAUUCAUUAAAAUGAAUUUUUAAAAAUACGUAACAUUUAAUUGAGUCCGCCCCUCCAUUAAGCAUUCCUCUAUGAGAACACUUUUCUCCCUAUAACAUAAUUACUUAUACUUUUUUAAUACUCCCAGACCAGAUUGUACGGAUUUGGAGGACAGCUAAAGUGUGUUAUUCAUGUAGUGACCUAAUUUUGGCACAGGAAUCUAACACCGAGACUCAAGUUCUGAUACACGGCCGAACACUGCAAAGGAAUCCCGGCGUGUGCCCUGCGGAGCAGGCCUGCUCACCUCUCCCACCACUGCCCAGCCCAGAAUCUGGCAUGGAGUGUACGCCCAAGGAAUAUCGGUUGCUUGAAUAAAUGAAUGAAUGACUGGAUGGCUGGGUGAAUGUGGAUUUUUAUUCCAUUCUUCACCCAAAAUUCAUCGAGUCCCUACCAAGUGCAAGGUCUGGGCUAGGCAAUGGGGAUAUAAGUUGCCAUAUCUGAUACAAAGCCCACCCUCUUGGAGGCAUCAGUGUGAGGGUGCUGACCCCCUCUGAUGUGGGAUGGGGUUCCUAUGAAUGUGAGCCCCAUUGGCCUUUCAGCUCCUGUUCAUGGCAUGACUGCGGGGUGGGGAGACCCCAAACCCUCCAGGAUCUCUUCUGCCUAUGAUAUUAGGGACAGAGCCAAGGCUGCCAUUCCAGAGUCCCUGAACUCUUCAAGGUGCUCCAGAAAUGUGCAGCUAGCCCUGGGCUAGCCCUCCUCGGAACACUCCUCCCCUUCCCACUUCAUUCCAACUGGCCCCGGUUCAGAACAGGCGUGUUGUGGAGGGGUGCUUCACUGGAGGAAGACUAAGGGGAGAGGGGCACGACUGCUACUCUGGAAGAGAGCAGCCCUUGACAAACCUUCCACCACCGCAGCCGGCUGGUCCAACUGGAAAUCCCAGAUAAGCCCUAGUUCUGUUCAGAACUAGUUUGGCAGCUCUGGGGGAACGUUUCUGGCUAACUGACCCUCCCCACAGAGGGAGCUGGCAGUUCUGCAAAAAAGAAAAGAAAAGCAAACUAAAGGGGCAGAGAGGCGUGGCUAAAAUGAUUUGAAACACUCCAAAAUUCUGCUGGCUUGCAAGUGCAAGUUUACAGUUGAAGAUCCGAACAAGACUGUCACACACACACACACACACACACACACACACACAUUCAUUUUCUCACACUCUCCCCUUUUUUGCAAUAUGGUUUUGUUGCAGUGCAAUUUGUUUUGCAGCGCUAUUAUUGAAGCAAUAUAAUCCUGCCAGCAGCGCGACUUUCAGUCAAUGCAUUUUUUUCUGCAAUGCCAUUAUUAUUAACAAUUAUUAUUAUUACUGUUGUUGUUGUUGUUGUAAUUCAAUCUUUCUGCCCUUUCCCCUUCCUACUCGAAACGCGUUCCGGCUGUGAUUGCUCGGGUCUGACUUUGCGAGUGGCAGUGCGCUUCCAAACCCCCCUCGUCCGCCCCCGGUCCCCCUUUCCCCUCCCUCUCUUUUCCGCGCCCAGGCCAGAGCAGCCGAUUGGCAGAGCGGUGCUUUCAGGAACAAUAACAGUGGGGGGACCCCGGGGCCCGGGGAGCCGCCCCGCCCCCCGGCCCGGCGAGGCUCGCGCCCGCGCUGGGUCCCCACCUCCGUGCCCGCCCCGCGGGCUGAGCGGCCCAACGGGGGCCCGCCCCCGGCGCCCACCAUGUACGCCUUUGUGCGGUUCCUGGAGGACAACGUCUGCUACGCGCUGCCCGUGUCGUGCGUGCGCGACUUCAGUCCCCGCUCGCGGCUGGAUUUUGACAACCAGAAGGUGUACGCCGUGUACCGGGGCCCAGAGGAGCUGGGCACCGGGCCCGACAGCCCUCCGCGCGCCCCCCGCGACUGGGGAGCGCUGCUGCUCCACAAGGCCCAGAUCCUGGCGCUGGCAGAGACCCGAGGGGCGGAAGCCAGGCGACGUGGCGCACAAGAGCAUCGAGGCCGUGGUGGCCCGGCUGGAGAAGCAGAACGGCCUGAGCCUGGGCCACGGCACGUGUCCGGAGGAGGUCUUCGUGGAGGCCUCGCCAGGCACGGAGGACAUGGACAGUCUGGAGGAGGCCGUCGUGCCCCGGGCUCUGUACGAGGAGCUGCUGCGUAACUACCAGCAGCAGCAGGAGGAGAUGCGUCACCUCCAGCAGGAGCUGGAGCGGACUCGGAGGCAGCUGGUCCAGCAGGCCAAGAAGCUCAAGGAGUACGGGGCACUCGUGUCCGAAAUGAAGGAGCUCCGGGACCUCAACCGGAGGCUCCAGGACGUGCUGCUCCUGAGGCUUGGCAGUGGUCCAUCUGGGAAGCGGGAUUUGGGUUGAUGAGGAGAAGUGGCACCAGCUACAAGUAACCCAAGGCGAUUCCAAGUACACAAAGAACUUGGCAGUUAUGAUUUGGGGAACAGAUGUUCUGAAGAACAGAAGCGUCACAGGAGUUGCCACAAAAAAAAAGAAAGAUGCAGUCCCUAAGCCACCCCUGUCACCUCACAAACUCAGCAUCGUCAGAGAGUGUUUGUAUGACAGAAUAGCACAAGAAACUGUGGAUGAAACUGAAAUUGCACAGAGACUCUCCAAAGUCAACAAGUACAUCUGUGAAAAAAUCAUGGAUAUCAAUAAAUCCUGUAAAAAUGAAGAACGAAGGGAAGCA